rnacentral:lncRNA from 1 species
UAGGGACACACUGGGCCAGGACGCAGAGCCAGGAAUGCUGAGAGAGGCUUUACUCAAAAGGGGGUCGCAGCUUUCCCAGAGCCACUGUUUCUCAUCUGGGUGAAGAAGUGAGGAAAGGGACAGGUGUGAGCAGAGAGGACCAGAGGCUUUUCCUGACCCUGUGGCCUCAGGAAUACAGGUCAAUGAAUGACAAACUUCCAUGGAACUCAACCCAAAGAAAUUCUUUACAUUCCAAAGUCACUCUGAAAGAUAGCAGCCUUCCUCAUCUCCUCAGAAUCUUGCAUGGAACCAUAAUUCUGUGGAAAUCUGCAUAUGCAUUCCUUCCUGGUUCAGCCACAGCAAACUUAUAAAGCUGCUUCCCCCAGAGAUACAACGGAUGCUCCCACAAUAUGAAAGCGCAGACACUUGGCCAGAAGGCCACGCAGCUGGGGUUUCGCCGAAGCACGGGGAGCCGUGGUGGGUCUUCUCCUCAACCCCAGCAUCCUUCCUGACCCCACAGUGACAUUCGCGUCUCCUGGAAUCUGUAUGAGUCCAGAGCCCGGGUCCCAUAAGCCCGAAAUAUCUGCUCACUUUUCCCCAGGGCACAGUCACCCUGGCGGAGGUCCCUUUGGGAAAGGCUGGGAGAGAUUAACAAUAUACAUUUUGGGCGCUACAGCCAGGUCCUUCCUCCAGGGGUCCCCGCUUCCAGUUCCUUCAGGAGUUCUGGGUCUGUAAAUGAACUCAUGUCUGGGAAUUGAUCGAGGGGUCAUGGCUUUCUGCCUUUAUGAUUCAAGUUAGACUUCUGCUCAUACAGACGAUCAGCAUCCCAUCCAUGUCACUUGUAGGAGCGCCAUGAUCAACCAGCCCCUGCCACAGGACUGUCCUGCCUGCUGCUGACUCUGUGGUGCAUCACAGUCACCACACCCACCUUGCCUUUGCCUGCCAAGUGCUGCCGCUUGGCCCUGCUGCCUGGGGAUCUAAUGACCCCCCACGGCACUCAGGUGGCCCAAAGCAGAGCCCGAAUCUCUGCUGAGUGAGCCUCGAUCAGUAAAUUCCACCUGACCCAACUUUACCUUCCUUCCACCAUUAUCCCAGCCCUUAUAUCCAUUCCCACACAUAUUCCCCAGGUUUCUGUCAAUAUAAACUGGGGAAAUCAUGUUCUUUUGGAGCACAGCACACAUUCUCGUUGGUCACGUUUCGCACCUCCCCCUGCAGGGCCUGGGGCAUGCUGCCUCAGGGCUUUUGCACAUGCUGUGUGCUACCUGGGAAGCUCUUCUCCUUGCUUCUCUCACCUUGUUUCUCUUUGCUUCUCUGACGACCCUUCCUUGGCAUCCUCCUCCCUGAUCACUGGGGCCAAAGCACCAGCCCCAUAAUCGCCCCCUCCCCACAUUCUAGCGUCACUCUUCUGCAGUGGUGACUCAUGGCCUUCAUCAUCACUGACAUGAACUGACUGUCCCAACUAUGCUGUAGGACCUUGAGGGCAGGCCCUCUCUGUCUUGCUCACAGCUGCAUCCCCGGCACCAAGGCUAGCACCUGGCACAGAGCAGACGCUCCAUAAAUAUUUCUGGAACAAAUGAAACAACACGCAAAGCCUGCUGCUUGUGGCCAAGCAUCCCUGAUGCUGUUAAUACAGACAGCAGGCCUGGGCUUCAUUUGUUUAUUGACCGUCUCCUGACUACUCCAGAGAGGAUUCAAGAUGGGGGUGGGGAAGCUUCACGUCACCCACCCUCCCAGGCGGUAAGGGCUUCAGAGCGUGUGCGGUAAGGUACGGUCACCGUAUCCUGGGAAGGUGUGACCUGUCGCCUGUGAGCUCCGGCGUCACCAGCCUUGUGCAGCGGAGGAAAUGGAGCAAUAGCUGCUUUCCUGAGCCGGAAGGAGACAAGCUGCACCUGCCCAGAUUGUGAAAUGGGUGCAGGGUUUCUCCUUUCGUAACUGAGAGAUCAGGAAUCUGCCCCUCCCUGCUCCUCCAGCGGGUCACAGGUCCUCACCACUCUGGCCGCCCCGAAGGGUUUAACCAGAGUGAAUCAUGCAGUGACUGGGCUGGAGCAGCCGGCUGGGGCUGCCUCCGUUUGCAUUCUGUCUCCUGGAACAGCCUGAGGAGGUGGACAUGAGCUUUGCCGAGGGCCAGAGUCCAGCUCAGAGCUGGACCCCACGGGGUGGGUGCAGACAGAGAAGGUGGGGGCGCACAGUCAUUCAGAGACAAGCUAGGCCUGGGGCCCACCCCGAGACUCCUGUGUGAGCGGAAGGCUAAGACGAGCCUGCACGGGGCCUCACAGGCCCGUCCUGGCAGCGGGGUACAGGCCAUCCACGGCAAACCCGUGCUUUUCCCAAGGGGGACCUGUGCAGGGCCAAGGCCUCGGGCACUUUCCUGAUGUUUCAGCUACCCCCGCUCCCCUGUCUGAACGUCUGGGGUUCCAGUUCCAAGGUGGGAUGGCCGGACUGUAGCCACGGUGCUGUGUCCAUCUGGGAUGGGUGUGGGCUGCCCGCCUACUGCCCCUGGGAGGCAGAACUUUCUUUGCCUGAAAGAAGGGAGGGGGGGAGAGAAAAACAAGUCACUGCUAAUUUAUGCCUCAGACACGGUUGCCUGAGCUAGCCCACUCCCGCUCUAGCCUGCAGGCUGGGGGCCGGGAGGACCCAGACGCCCAGCUUGGGGAAGGCCGGAUGCCGUUUUGUUCCUUGAGAUCCACAGGAAAACCCUGAGUCUCUUCUUCCACACGGACGGAGCACGAAUAAGCACAAAAGGACAAAAGUAUUCUCGCACCCUCACCUUGUGCGGGCCCUGAGGGACACCCUCGCUUAGCCCUGGGGUGACAGCAGCAAGCAGGUGCUGUCAGCAGCCCCAUCUUACACAGGACAAAACCGAGAUUAGGACCCGGCCACGGUCCUGCAGGCGGCAAGCAAGGAGCCGGGAUUUGAGCUACAAAGCGUGCAGGGGAAUCUACAGGGCGGCUGGGCGUGCAGACAGAAUGGGUGAUUGUGAGGCUCUGUGAGAGCAAGAGAGCAAGGGGCCGGAGAGGAGGCCGAGCCCAGAGAAAGUGCACACAGACGACAGCAGCUCCCCAGAUGAACUACCAGAACAAGAAUCCGGCCCCCAGGAGCGCACACUGGAGCCAUCGCUACAUGCCAGAGCCCAGGUGCACCGCGUUACGCAGCUGUCCUCAAAGGCCCAUGACAGAGGCUCUGUGAUUGCCCCCCAGUGUAGGGAGGAGGCGGGCUCAGAGAGGCUGAGGAGCAAGCCCGCAGCCACACAGCCCUGGGCCCCAGGCUCUAUCCAGUUCUGCCUCCCACUCCAGGCACAGGGAAGGGCCAGGCCUCUGGAGAAAACCCUUCGCCACAUCCACCCCCAGAUGCCCCUUUUCAAGGCACAGAUGAUCAACCAGGCACAGGAGGCAGGACACCUGCCCCCUUGUCCCUGCCCCACCGCCACUUUUUGGGGUGGCCCUGGGCAGGUCCUGGGCAGUGUGCUUUGGUGCCCCCAUGCUUUGUCACUGUGAGCGGACAAGAACAGUGUGUCCCCUGCCCCUGGGCCCCUGAAAUGUACACCAGGCCUGUGCCCCUUGGCAGGACAAGCUCACCUUUAGGGACGAACUUCAGCGAGCUGCUGAAUAUUCAGAAGCGGGACUGCCCCCGCUUGGGGCCAUCAUUCAGAAACUCAUGGCCCAGCCCGUUGCCACACUUGCCACAGGACACCUGGGAAGACCACCAAACAGCUGAAACAAUGGCCCUUCCUGCCACCAGCAGACGGUGUCCUUCUCACGCCCUUUUCUCAAGGUAACUGCUGGCAGGCAAGGCUGACCUCUGUCCUGGAGCCCUCACAGGAAAGCCACCCUGCUUCCCUUUGCCCACCAGGACCCCAGGCUUGCCCAAUAGUUUGGAGUGCAGCUCCCCUGGCUGGGAUAGACAGACGCUAAGCCCCUGGAGCUGUCCAGGAGCAGAAGGAAGGAAGGGGUGGCCAGCUCUCAGGCCCUCCCUGGCCAACAUCCCCUCCCCACCCCCUGCUGCUGCCACUCACCUUUA